UUUAUGGAGAGUUUGAUCCUGGCUCAGGAUGAACGCUGGCGGCGUGCCUAAUACAUGCAAGUCGAGCGAACAGACAAGGAGCUUGCUCCUUUGACGUUAGCGGCGGACGGGUGAGUAACACGUGGGUAACCUACCUAUAAGACUGGGAUAACUUCGGGAAACCGGAGCUAAUACCGGAUAAUAUUUCGAACCGCAUGGUUCGAUAGUGAAAGAUGGUUUUGCUAUCACUUAUAGAUGGACCCGCGCCGUAUUAGCUAGUUGGUAAGGUAACGGCUUACCAAGGCGACGAUACGUAGCCGACCUGAGAGGGUGAUCGGCCACACUGGAACUGAGACACGGUCCAGACUCCUACGGGAGGCAGCAGUAGGGAAUCUUCCGCAAUGGGCGAAAGCCUGACGGAGCAACGCCGCGUGAGUGAUGAAGGUCUUCGGAUCGUAAAACUCUGUUAUUAGGGAAGAA
rnacentral:rRNA from 1 species